rnacentral:rRNA from 1 species
UACAGAGGUCCCAAGCGUUGUUCGGAUUCAUUGGGCGUAAAGGGUGCGUAGGUGGCGCCGUAAGUCAGGUGUGAAAUCUCGGGGCUUAACUCCGAAACUGCAUUCGAUACUGCCGUGCUUGAGGACUGGAGAGGAGACUGGAAUUUACGGUGUAGCGGUGAAAUGCGUAGAUAUCGUAAGGAAGACCAGUGGCGAAGGCGGGUCUCUGGACAGUUCCUGACGCUGAGGCACGAAGGCCAGGGGAGCAAACGGG